rnacentral:rRNA from 1 species
AGGGCACCACCAGGAGUGGAGCCUGCGGCUUAAUUUGACUCAACACGGGGAAACUUACCCGGCCUGGACACUGGAAGGAUUGACAGAUUGAGAGCUCUUUCUUGAUUCAGUGGGUGGUGGUGCAUGGCCGUUCUUAGUUGGUGGAGCGAUUUGUCUGGUUAAUUCCGAUAACGAACGAGACUCUAGCCUAUUAAAUGGGCUCCCGGCUUUUAAACGCCGGGAGGACUUCUUAGAGGGACAGGUGGCGGUUCAGCCGCACGAAAGAGAGCAAUAACAGGUCUGUGAUGCCCUUUGUUGUCCGGGGCCGCACGCGCGCUACACUGAAGAGAUCAGCGUGCUUUAUGUUCCUGCUCCGACCGGAGUGGGGAACCCAGUGAACCUUCUUCGUGAUUGGGAUAGAAGAUUGUAAUUAUUCUUCUUGAACGAGGAAUUCCCAGUAAAUGCGAGUCAUAAGCUCGCGUUGAUUACGUCCCUGCCCUUUGUACACACCGCCCGUCGCUACUACCGAUUGAACGAUUU